rnacentral:rRNA from 1 species
GAUGAACGCUGGCGGCGUGCCUAAUACAUGCAAGUCGAGCGAACAGACGAGGAGCUUGCUCCUCUGACGUUAGCGGCGGACGGGUGAGUAACACGUGGAUAACCUACCUGUAAGACUGGGAUAACUUCGGGAAACCGGAGCUAAUACCGGAUAAUAUAUUGAACCGCAUGGUUCAAUAGUGAAAGACGGUUUUGCUGUCACUUAUAGAUGGAUCCGCGCCGCAUUAGCUAGUUGGUAAGGUAACGGCUUACCAAGGCAACGAUGCGUAGCCGACCUGAGAGGGUGAUCGGCCACACUGGAACUGAGACACGGUCCAGACUCCUACGGGAGGCAGCAGUAGGGAAUCUUCCGCAAUGGGCGAAAGCUUGACGGAGCAACGCCGCGUGAGUGAUGAAGGUCUUCGGAUCGUAAAACUCUGUUAUUAGGGAAGAACAAAUGUGUAAGUAACUAUGCACGUCUUGACGGUACCUAAUCAGAAAGCCACGGCUAACUACGUG